rnacentral:rRNA from 1 species
UACGGAGGGUGCAAGCGUUAUCCGGAUUUACUGGGUUUAAAGGGUGCGUAGGCGGGCCUUUAAGUCAGUGGUGAAAGCUCCGAGCUUAACUCGGAAACUGCCAUUGAUACUAUUGGUCUUGAAUUCGGUCGAGGUUGGCGGAAUGUGUCGUGUAGCGGUGAAAUGCUUAGAUACCAUCCAGAACCCCGAUUGCGAAGCAGCUGCCUAGACUGUAACUGACGCUGAGGCACGAAAGCGUGGGGAGCGAACAGG